rnacentral:rRNA from 1 species
UUUUUUCAGCUUUAAUUUCCCUUUAUCUUAUUAGUAGUACUUAAAUUCUGAAGAAUCUCUUGAGCCUGUAGCUCAGUUGGUUAGAGCAUACGCCUGAUAAGCGUAAGGUCAGUAGUUCAAAUCUACUUAGGCUCUAAAGCAAUAAGUGGAUGCCUUGGCACCAGAAAACUAGACGUUUUUCGAAAAGUAAUGUUUUUCACAUAAAGUGUAUUAAAAUAUUGCGGUCUAAAGAAGAAAACUUCUGUUAUAAAAACAAAAUAAAGAGAGUGAAUUGAAACAUCUUAGUAACUCUUGAAAAAAUCAAACGAGAUUCCGUAAUUAGUGGCGAGCAAAAGCGGAAAAGAUGCUUUAUACUUAAACUUAGAAAUCAAAGUCAGAGAAGGUGUAAACCCUGUAACAGUUUUGGUAUAUUGUAAUGAAGUAGGGCAGUUGAUAUCUGUUUGAAUAUUGGGGUUCCACCCUCAAUUCUAAAAAUUUUUGGUGACCGAUAGCAAAAAAGUACCGUAAGGGAAAGGUGAAAAAAACUCUUUUAGAGAGUGAAAAUAUCUGAAACUUAUUGUUUACAAACUGUUGACGUUCUGUUUUUACUGAACAACAGCUUGCCUUUUGCAUAAUGAGCCAGUGACUUUUUUAAAGUGGCGAGCUUAAGUAGUUAUAUGAAAGCAAAGAGAAAUCGAAUACAAAUAAUGUUGAUAGUCACUUUAAUAAGACCCGAAACGAAGUGAUCUAACCAUGAACAGGUUGAAGAUAUUAUGGUAAUGUAAAUCGGAGGACCGAACUCGUGUAUGUGGAAAAAUACUGGGAUGAUUUGUGGUUAGGGGUGAAAGGCCAAUCAAACUUCGCGAUAGCUGGUUUUCCGCGAAAUCUAUUUAAGUAGAGCGUUCUUUUGUUGUUAAUGGGGUAGAGCUCUCGAUAAGCUAGGGGGGUUUUUAACUUUACCAAACUUAAUGAAACUACGAAUACGUUAAUAAAGAAUUUAACAUAAGAGCAGACAGAUAUUAGAUGCUAAGGUCUUUUAUCAAGAGGGAAACAGCCCAGAUUAAUUAUUAAGGUCUUAAAUAAAUGUUUAAGUGAAGAAUGCGAUGAUUAAACUAAGACAAUCAUUAGGUAGGCUUGGAAGCAGCCAUCUUUUAAAGAAAGCGUAACAGCUCGUUAAUCUAGUUUUUUUUGUGCUGAAGAUGUAUAGAGACUAAAACAUUAACCGAAAUAUUAAAUCAGAAAUGAUGGUAGCGGAACGUUCUGUUUUUUUAUGAAGAAAUGCUGCAAAGUUUUUUGGAGAAAUCAGAAGUGAGUAUACUGGCAUGAGUAGCGAUAAACAAUGUUAAAAACAUUGUCGCCGUAAGUCCAAGGGUUUUGAAGCAAGGCUAAUCCUCUUCAGUUAAAAUGCAUCAUUUUAGUAAUAAGACGGCCCCUAAGAUAAGAGACCAAAGUCUAUGUCAAUGGGUAAUUUUUAUAUCUUUCUUAAAAAAGUGACGGAAAUUAAAGUUUAUGUUUAUAGUAAAUAAAUGUUUACUAAAUUUCCCAAGAAAAAGCAAAAAACAAACCGUACUUUAAUCCGACACAGGUGGACAGGUUGAGUAAACUAAGGCGUUGAGAGAACUUUGUUGAAGGAACUCGGCAAAAUAACCCCGUAACUUCGGAAUAAGGGGUGACUUUUUGAGGGCAACCUUAGAAAGUUGGCACAGAAAUGGGGGUAGCAACUGCUUAGUAAAAGCACAGGUCUCUGCUAAUUUGUAAAAAGAAGUAUAGGGGCUGACGCCUGCCCGGUGCUGUAAAGUAAAAAAAUUAUUGUCUUGGCUUUAAUUUUAAACUCCAGUAAACGGCGGCCGUAACUCUGACGGUCCAAAGGUAGCGAAAUUCCUUGUCGGGUAAGUUCCGACCUGCAUGAAUGGCGUAAUGACUUCCCUACUGUCUCCAACAAAGACUCAGUGAAAUUGAAAUACCCGUGAAGAUGCGGGUUAUUUGCAGCUAGACGGAAAGACCCCGUGCAUCUUAACUAUUCGCAUAAAUUGUAAAAAGAUUGUUUUUGUGUAGGAUAGGUGGAAGCCGUUUGAAAUCUUUGCUUCGGCAAAUUAUUUAGGCGCCCUUGAAAUACCACCCUUCUACAAUUUUUUUACUCACUUUAUAUCAGGACCAUUUAUGUCAGGUAGUUUAGCUGGGGCGGUUACCUCCUAAAAAGUAACGGAGGUGUACAAAGGUAAACUCAAACAAUUUUCAUUGUUGUAGAGCGUAAUGGUACAUGUUUGCCUAACUGUAAGAUUGAUAAAUCGAACAGAGAUGAAAAUCGGUCAUAGUGAUCCGGUGGUUCUUUGUGGAAAGGCCAUCGCUCAACAAAUAAAAGAUACGCCGGGGAUAACAGGCUGAUGCCUCUCUAGAGCUCUUAUCGACAGGGGCGUUUGGCACCUCGAUGUCGGGUGCGAGCUGUUGGAUUGCAAAGUAAAGAUAGACUCUUGCUGAAAAUCCCUAACUUGGUUUAAUCUGGUUAGAACUUAUAUUUCAGGUGGGUAUUCACUCCCACAUACCUUCUCUUAAAUAGGUAUUGAUCAUACAACCAUCGGUUAGUCUGAUGGUGCGUCCCAAUGAAUGACUAGGCCCAAAACCUAUCACAUUUAGAAGCUGGGGUAAAAGCAUGUUAAAGAAUAAUUGUCAUUCUUGAAACGUGUUAGAAUGGUUAUAACAAGUUGAGCGAAAGCAAAGCAGUGUAAUAAAAUGGCGUUAUCGAGGAAGUUUGGGUUAUGGCAAGAACACUCCCAGGCCCCUAAACAUAGGGACAGUUUGUAUU